rnacentral:misc_RNA from 1 species
UGACAGCCAUUCUCCUGCCAAUUACAACUCAUACAACUAGUUACUUGACAACUAUUCUCCCUCCACUUACAACUCAUACAACUAACCCUUAUUCUGCCUUAGUCUUCUUCUCUGAUAUGUAACAAUACCUCCCCCAUUAGAACUUUCUUGUCCCCAAGAAAGUGUAGCUUCUGGAAACUGGUUCACAAUAAAAGAAUAGUCUUCCCAAGUUGCAUCUUCUACAGGAAGGUUCAACCACUUGAUUAACCCCUGAAAAACAUGGUGUUGAUCUCUAGUAAUGGUUCUAGUUUGAAGAACCUGUUCUGGAGCUACUAUCACAGCAUCUUCAUGCACUGUAGGUAAUUCAGAAAGGGGAACAAUAUUGCUGCCCAACUUUUUCUUUAACAUAGACACAUGAAUUACAGGAUGGAUUGAAGAAGUAGGAGGUAACUGAAGCUUAUAGGCCACUGUCCCAAUCUUAGCUAGGAUUUGGAAAGGCCCAUAAUACUUAGGAGAAAGCUUCAAAUUGUGUCUUAAUGCCACAGAAGUUUGCCUAUAAAGCUGUAACUUCAAAUAAACCCAAUCUCCCACCAUAAAUUCCCUUUCAGACCUAUGCUUAUUAGCUUGCUGCACCAUUCUAUUCUGAGCCAUCUGCAAAUUCUCCUUAAGCAAUUGAUCCAGCUGCUGCCUCUGUUGUAAAAAAUCCCCCAAUGUUCCCAUAGAGGGCAAGUCAGAAGGAAUGAUUGGAAGGAAGGAUGGUUUAUAGCCAUACAAAGCCUCAAAAGGUGACAUCUUAAUGGCACUAUGGGAGGAUGAAUUAUACCACCACUCUGCAAGUGAAAGCCAAUUGCACCAAGUUGAUGGCUUGAGAUGAACCAUGCAUCGCAGAUAAGCCUCUAGACACUGGUUAAGUCUCUCGGUCUGCCCAUCUGAUUGAAGAUGAUAGGCAUAGCUAUAAGACAAAGUACUGCCUAUGCAUUUGAACAAUUCCUUUCAAAAUAGGCUUGUAAAAACUUUG